GACGAACGCUGGCGGCGUGCUUAACACAUGCAAGUCGAACGGAAAGGCCCUGCUUGCAGGGUACUCGAGUGGCGAACGGGUGAGUAACACGUGGGUGAUCUGCCCUGCACUUCGGGAUAAGCUUGGGAAACUGGGUCUAAUACCGGAUAGGAGCCAUCUUUAGUAUGGUGGUUGGAAAGUUUUUUCGGUGUAGGAUGAGCUCGCGGCCUAUCAGCUUGUUGGUGGGGUAAUGGCCUACCAAGGCGGCGACGGGUAGCCGGCCUGAGAGGGUGUACGGCCACAUUGGGACUGAGAUACGGCCCAGACUCCUACGGGAGGCAGCAGUGGGGAAUAUUGCACAAUGGGCGCAAGCCUGAUGCAGCGACGCCGCGUGGGGGAUGAAGGCCUUCGGGUUGUAAACUCCUUUCGCUAGGGACGAAGCUUUUUUGUGACGGUACCUAGAUAAGAAGCACCGGCUAACUACGUG
rnacentral:rRNA from 1 species